rnacentral:tRNA from 1 species
CCGCCUCUAGCUCAAUUGGUAGAGCAGUGGCCUUUUAAGCCAUUUGUUCUGGGUUCAAGUCCCAGGGGGCGGA